AUUCCAUCAUUUUUGCCAGGGGUUGUAGGUACGGCUGUGCAGUGUUCCCGCAGGGCUGCCACCUAUCUGUGGCAAACGGUUGCAUCAUUGGCAAAAAGGGAGGAGGGGAAAAAAAACUUUGAAAGUAAAACAAAUAUGCUCAGAAAUACAAAUGAACUUUCUUCUGUGGCUUCUUUCAAGAUGGAGCCGCCUGUGGGUGCUUUGAAAUGGAAGCGUUGUCAUAUUUGUCUCCAAAAAGAACAGAAGUUGUUUCAUCACUAGGUCUUGUUUUUUUAAAAGACCAUGUAGAGCAGGGGUCCACAACCUUUGCCAUCAAAAGAGCCAUGUUGCCUCCUCUUUCAGUAAACAUUGCACUCUUUCUAAACGUGCAAGAAUUGGAGUGUAGUUCAAAUGUUCCAAGCACAACCUCCAACAAACAGAAACCAUUGAAGCACUUCACCCUGGAAGUCUCACUGAGUGGCUCCCAUGUUUGUGGAACAUGAAAACAAAAUGUGGCCAACUUGAAGACAAAAAGGCCGCGUCUAUGGGAAACACUGCUUUCCAUCAGGAAGACCAUGAUGAUGCUGAGUUAGUGGACAGUUGGGUGUCACAUCUCACUCCCCACCAAAUAUCACCAUAAAAAACAUGGAGGAAUUGAUGCGUGUGGAGCAUCUCACCGCUAUUUGCCUCUUUUCCGCUUCACCACGCUUGUGAUGAAUAUCUGCCUACUGUUCAGGUGGAAUGAUUAGAAAAUGUGAACUCAAGUUCACCAAUCAAGUAAGAGCAAGGAUACGUGUGAGGUACUCCAGGAUGGUGACGUCCCAGAUGUAGUCGUAGAAGGAGUCCAUGGCAUCGUGACUGCAUCAAAGUCACGCAUGUUAACACAUAAGAUUAGAUAAGAAAACAGGGGGUGUCCCGAUGUACCUGCUCUGCUCUUGGAGAGCUUUGAACGCCGUCAUGUAGUCCACUUCCCUCAGGAACUGGCAGAGGACGGCAACCUAUCAGGAGGGAAGUCACAUCAGGCGUUGAGGACCAGGAAGGGAAGGCGGGGCAGAAUGACAGCGAGCGCCGCAAACCUGAGUGUGGCAGUUCAUCAUGGAGCAGCACUUGAUCAUUCUCUUCAGCACCUGUGGGGCGGAGGUUGCACCAUGAGGACCAGCGGCAGGGAAGGAAGGUCAAGCACCCACCUGGUCUGUGUAGAUAUCAGGCGGGACGGCUUUAGAGAAGAAGUCCGAGGCCACGGCGCCGGCCUGGACGUAAAAGUUGAGUGCUGCUGAGUACUGGUUGGUCACUGCAGGGAAUGAAAGUAAAAAUUUCAAUGACAUCAUGAUGUUAUUCCUCAUGUAGCCACCACGUUUGAACAAGGAGAAAAUGGGACUUUGUAUUUGCUCUUGCCGUUCCAAAACAAGAGCAAAAAAUGAUGGCUCCAUCAGUCCCUAGAAGGGUUGUUUUGGGAUUAUCAUGACUCUAGCCCCUAACCCGUGCGCCCCCCGACACCUGGAAGCCUGCUAGGGAGCAUGAAAACACCAGGCCCCCCCCCACCCCAACCCCAGCAAGGCAGACAAAGGAGCAGGCGAGGUGGAAAGCCAGCAAAUGAGCAAGCGGGCAGGCCAACGCCCCCAGGAUCAGCAGCCGCGAGCCUGCCACCCCUGCGGUCAGCGGACAGGUCCACGACCACAGCCCCGGGCCCACGGAAUAGGCUACCCCCUCCACCCGUGUAUGUGAUGAGAUGGGAUUGCGUCUAUUGUGAAAUAAAAGAGGACAGCUCUGGAGGCCUGACCUCUAUGUGGCUGGGGGGGGGCGUGUAUGUAUGUAUGUGAGUGAUAGCUAACGAGGCAAUUAAAAUGGGGGGAAAGCUGAGGUAUGGCCAGCCCCCCAACCCUAAGUGUCUAUUGUGUGGUUAAAAUUGAGUCUGAGGCAGGCCAGGAGCAAACCCCCAGGAGCCACACCACAGCGACCACAAGAGAACUGGCCCUGCACAGAGCGAAGCCAAAAGUGCUCCUAAUUUCCAGAAGACAAUUUACCAGAAGCAGGUGCGAAUACUUGGAAAACGAAAAAAGCAAAGUGCAGAUUUUGCAGUCUUAGGAGAAUAAAGUCAAAAGUCUACCAGGAAAAAGGCGUCAAUUCUCCAAGAACACGAGGCCCAAUAAGGUGAGAAUGUUUGGAUGCUUCGCUUGUUAACACGUGUUGUUUAGGAAAUAUUCUAUUCAAAUCAAGUCUUUGUGAUGAAGCUGCUGAAGAACUGAACUAAGAAAUGAGUUGGCAUGUGAGUGUCAUCUUGGGACGUAUUUGUGGAGCCCCCCUGUGACCUGAAGGUGGCGUCCUGCGGGGACAGAAAGAAGCGUUUCCUACCAAAGUAGAUGUCGGCCUGUGUGAUGAGCCACGAUUGGUUGUUGGGGUUGAGCGUGAGGGCGUAGGUCACCAGCUCUUUCACCGUCACCGCCACGGCCUCCACGUCCACCGCCUGUAUGCUGCACACGUACAUACCUGUUAGCUGCAGCGCGUGUGGGGAGGACGACGUCAGAGCUUACUUGGGGAGAGAGGAUGGCCAUAUGGAGAGAUGCUCGGCCGUCACCUCGUUGACGAUGUCAUCCUGAGAGAUGCGAGACCACGAGGAAGGUUAAAAAGGAGCUCAUUUUGCGAGCGGGGAAGCAGGAAGUGGAGGACACACCCUCACGGUGCAGUGGAGCCUCACAAAAAGCGAGAUGAGGGUCGUCAACACCAACGGCUCCUGGGAAGAAAACAAUGUGGUGGUGAUGAUGCAAGCAGCACGUAAAUGAUUCAUGUCACGUACUCACUCUGAUCUUGGUGACAAAAGUGAUGAAUUUACUCCUGAUGGACAAGAAGGUAUGAGAAUUAGAACACGUAUUUAGUGAGCGCAGGUGUGGUUCCUUUAAAUAAGAGUAACACCUGAGCAGGAUGCCCAGGGAGGACUCCCGGUGCUUGAUAAGGCCCACUCGGCCGUCGUUGCUCCUCUUGUGUUGGAUGGAGACGCUGCAGAUCUGCACCACCACGUCCCAAAGCUCCUUGGCAGUGCGCCGGCUCUCUUUAGGACCCGGGAGCUCUUUGCAUGUGGAUGCCAAGAGCUGUCCCAGCUGAAGGCAGGAAGGAAGGAAGGUAGGUAGGUAGGUGUACAUGUAUGUGUGUGUAUAUAUAUAUAUAUAGAUAUAGAUAUAUAUAUAUAUAGGAAAGCCAAUAAAGUGCAUGCAUGUGAAAAGCAAGGUGUGAUGACCUUGAUGUACGGGUUGCUGAUGACGGCAGACGAUGGCACCUGCAGGGUCAGGUAGUCGUUUUCCCUCCAGUUCAACAUGAAGGCCACGCACUCCUCCCCCACCACCUGACGCAGAGGCAGAUCUGCACACAAAACCACAACUUGACAAACCUGAAGGUGGCACGUGUACAUGCUAGCUACCGUCGCCCUGACCCGACUCACCGUGGAUCCUCAUCUCCAGGUAGCCCCUCACUCUGCUGAUCAGGUCGGGCGGCGGCCGCUCCUUGCUGCCCUUGGCCGCCACCGUCUCAUGGGCACGCAACUCCAGCAGCAGCAUCUCAUUCAGCAUCACCUGCCUCAGCCGCGGGGAAAACUCCGUCACCAGCUCCAGGCAGGCAGAGAAGAGUUGGCGCGCGUGCAGGAAGUCCUAGACACCCCCCGCCGCCCCAAAUAUGUGUAUGUUUGGGGUUCAGGAGUUUUCGGUGUACAGUGUUCCCUCACUCUAUCGCAUUUCACCUUUUGCAGAGGCGCUGUUUCACAGAACUUUUUUAAUGCUUCUUAUUUCUUAUAGCAUAUGAACGCCGUUACAGGCCCUUUAAGAAGAAUUACAUUGUGGGAAAAUGAGUCUGUCUUCGCUCUCUCAUCUGUCUGCACCCUCAGGUUUCUGCGUCCUGAUUGGCUGUAGACCACUGUCACUCAAUCUCCUUGGCGCCGCCCUGCCGUGUCUCCUGUGUCACUGCCAGCUUGCUUGCUAGCUUGUAAAUGAACGUGGGUUUCAUCUGCAGCAAUAUGUGUUACCAAGGAUACAAGAACACCACAGAGGAGUGAAACACAUGUGAGUGGAUUCAUUUCUUGUGUCCAACCUAGGAGGUUGGUCACUCAAAUUCAAAACAAAGGUUUGAACUUCUUUGAGUGGUUAAGCGUGAGCGAAAUGUGAGACAAGCGAAUAAAGUGUACGGUGAGGGCUUUUCAAACAAAUAAAGUUGGCUACUUGGCAGAUUUCACUUAUGGCGGGCUAUUUUGGGAAGCUAUCCCCCACCAUGAACGAGGGAACACUGCAUACACAAAGCAUUGAUAUGAGCUAACCUUUACAGAUAUGCAGUGGAGGCCUUUGGCCAUGAGGAUGUAGACCAGGUCCUUGGUCAAGUUGUCUUUGAUGGCCAGGAUCACGUUGAUGUAGUCUGGAGGAACCUCCCACUGAAAGGAGAGCAGCAUUUUCAUUUCCCACUUCCAUCAAACGCAGCCCAGCUUCUACCUUGCUGUUGACCCUCCAGAAGGGCCGAUCUGCAAUGCCAUGGAGCUCGUUGAGGAUCUGCCUGAUCCUGCGUGGUUCCAAGGAGAGGAUGAGCUGCUGCUCCAGCUGCCCGACGCUCACGCUUGCCGACACUGCCGAGGAACGUCGUCGUCAGCGUGUGUGGAUGUGCGUGUAAGGACUCGGCGGUUACCUGGGAUGUCGUAGAAGGAGGGCAGGGGCUUGGCGCUGAGGUUGACCGUGGCCGACCUCUUCCUCAUCUGCUCCACCAGCAACGUCCUUUCCUCCUCCUUCAGCAACUCCGUGAAGAGUUUGUGCGAGGACACCACGAAGACCAGAGACACAUCCUCCAGGCUUUCACACAGAGUGCUGCGAGACCGGGGGGGGGGUUGGUGCGCAUAAGAAAAACCCCAGCAUUGCUCCAAUCAACUCACCGCACGAACGUCGCCAUGUUCCUUCUGGAGGUUUCUGAUGAACGCUCUUUUGCCAGUGCUUGCGUGCACACCUGCAGGAAACCGUGCACGUUUCAAUUGGCCCUCGCUCAUUAGUCACAUAGUGUGCAGGACUACCUCCAAAAUGAAGCCCACCAGGCGUUUGCUGGGCUUCAGGAGCAGCUGCAGGAAGCGCACGCCGAGGACUUCCCCUUCCAGAGCAUCACGCACAGCGUUGCAGACGCACAACUUGUGGCAAACCUCAUCCAGGCCCGCUUCCCUGCACAAAAAUGUCUCAUUGCUUUGCAACAAUACGUACUCUGCAUGGACGUGUGCCUCAUACCCUUGCUGGGCCUUGUGCAAGAACUCCCUGAGAACAGAGCACCUGAAGUGCUUUGGCAAACUGCGGCUGACGUUGUCCUUGAUGAAAGCGUCCACCACCGCCUGCAAGAGUGCAAACUGGACUGUCACCAGGGCUUGUGGCGUCCAAAAGCGCACACCGACCUGGUAGCUGCCAGCGCUGAUCAUCAUGUUGAUCUGGUCGUAGCGGGUCGUCUGCGAGUCGCAUGAGUCGCAGUCGCCGGUCAGAGCCUGGCAGGCGUUCCAGUAACCCGCCAGUCGCUUCUCGUCCAGGUGGACGUGGACUGCAGAGUCCAGCUUGAGAGACCAAGACAAGGUACACAUUCAAUAUAAGACAUGCUUGUAGAUCACCACCAUGUAUCCCCACCGCUGUCUCGGCUUGUCAGAAAUGAACCUGAAGAAAGUCCUGGCCUUUUUUCAACUGGAACCCGCUUAUGUCAACCAGCUCAGCAAGACCCCACCCACAGUGUUUGUUCUUUGCUCGACCUAUUUGUCAUACCCUCUCUCAUCGAGCCAUUAUAACGCACCCGGUCUGCCAGAGAAUAAGAAGAUGUAGUAGGAAGGAUCAGUCUUGCCAGCUUAGUAACUUCCAGUAGCAAGUCAUCAGACCGCUCUUGAUGCUCUUUUUCACAGAAGCCACAAAUGUCUUGACAUCGCUCCUCUCAACGAGCAGAGGGUAGUGCUGUGGGGCCCCCCCCCGCCCCCAUGAAAAAGCACUUACAAGCAGCUCAGUCUUGUUUGUGAUAUAAAAAAAGAAAAGACAUCUGUAAUUCUUUUAUUUUUCAUGUUUUUUACUCCUUUGUGCAAAUGCGUCAUGGCGUCAAACUAGACCACAGCAUUGCCACACAUAGAUUGCAGUCCUGUAUGCAGCGAAGGUGAGCACCUACCUCAGGGGUCACCAACGUGGUGCCCGCGGGCACCAGGUAGCCCCCCAUGACCACAUGAGGUGCCCGCAAGCCUGCUUUUCAUUCAGGUUUUCAGUCAAUAAUGAAAGAACAGUAGAAAGAAAUGCAUUCUGAAAUACAACAUGUGAGUUGUGGACACCAGCAUUUUGUUCAUGUUCUGGUAAAACAAGCAUAUUCGCUUUGUUUGGGUUUAAAAUAAGCUCUGAAAAUAAAUGUUUUAAAAAUGAGUAGAUCUUGGCCAUUUUCUUUUUGUAAAAGUAGCUCUCACAAGGAAAACGUUGGUGACCCCUGACCUACCUUCUUCAAGAGUUCCUUCGUCUGCCUGAAGUGAUCUCUGGCUUUUUCAAAGGCCGGCUGGUCCCUGCAGCCUUGCUGGAAGGAAAUGGCACCCAAGUCGUAGUGAACCUAAAAAAAAAAUAAAUAAAAAAAAUAAAUAAAAAAAGCUCAGCCGAAAAUGUGGGACAUCGCAGGGACAGGCAGACCUGGCAGUGCAGCUCGUUGGCGCUGAUGCGGAGCCCCGCCGUGGAGGACUCGGUCUCGCCGUUGGCGGCAGCGCCGUCCGCAGCCAGCAGGUCGAGCGUCCUCAUGGUGUGCACGUAGAAGUCCUUCUUCAGCUGAAGCGCCCCCGUCAGGACGCUGAUGGAGUCGCUCGCCUGCUCCUUCAGCUGGACACAAAAAUGGCAGCCAUGGUCCUAUCAGGACGUCACGCCACACGUGGACCAAACACGUCGGAUGUUCACUCACCACACUGAGGAUGUUGUCCGUCAUCUCCUUUUCCUGCUGCACCACAUUCAACCUGCAGGGAAGCACAACAAGACCUGCUCGAAAAUGACUUUUUAUGUGCUAAGAAAAGAAAACUUACAUGUUCAUCUGAUGCGGUCCCGGCUUGGCUUGCUUCUCAGGAAAGCUGCUCAGCACGAUGGUCCUGAUGGCCCUUUUGGACGCGUGAUAGGAUGCCACGUUUAGCUUUCAAUCUCUGAUUACGGCGGUUGCCGUUUUGACUCACCAGCGGUUAUAGAUGAGGACGGCCAUGGCCGUGGUUGGCGGCAGGGUGGACAGGUCCAGGUCCACGUGCUUCACCCCCGGCGGCACUUUGCUCACACACAGGAGCUCGUUGAGGAGCAUGUUCAACACAGGGAUGCUCAAGCUGCUGAAAGGGGUCAGUACACAUCACUUUUGGUCUCAUGUGGCAUCUUAAAUCCAAGUUGUACGGCAAAACACACCCUUUCUCCAGCACAUCCAGGUCCCACUUCAUGUGCGCGGCCACUUUCAGAGCCAGCAGCUUCAAGGUACGGUUCCGCCGGUUGUCCGCCGGAGGCUGCACUUGAUUCUGCUCGUUCACAGACGGCUUGGACGCCUGCUCCAGGAACUGGACGAUGAGCUGCACAGGUGUUGGGUCUGACGAGGCACACAGGUGUUUCUCCAGCAAGGCGCCAUCCAGGAGGAACUCAAACCAGGACGUCUGAAGCGGUGUACUGGGCCGGCUGCUCGUCACAGCAGCGACGCGGUCUGCUGCCUCCGCACUCAUCCUUCUCUGGUGAGCACAAAUCAAUGUUUCACUGGGUAUUAUUAUUAAUAUCAAUUUUUUUAUUUUUACAAUAUCUCAGAGCCUAUGAAAAAAACAA